rnacentral:rRNA from 1 species
UCCUACGGGGAGGCAGCAGUGGGGAAUAUUGCACAAUGGGCGCAAGCCUGAUGCAGCGACGCCGCGUGAGGGAUGACGGCCUUCGGGUUGUAAACCUCUUUCAGUAGGGAAGAAGCGAAAGUGACGGUACCUGCAGAAGAAGCGCCGGCUAACUACGUGCCAGCAGCCGCGGUAAUACGUAGGGCGCAAGCGUUAUCCGGAAUUAUUGGGCGUAAAGAGCUCGUAGGCGGUUUGUCGCGUCUGCCGUGAAAGUCCGGGGCUCAACUCCGGAUCUGCGGUGGGUACGGGCAGACUAGAGUGAUGUAGGGGAGACUGGAAUUCCUGGUGUAGCGGUGAAAUGCGCAGAUAUCAGGAGGAACACCGAUGGCGAAGGCAGGUCUCUGGGCAUUAACUGACGCUGAGGAGCGAAAGCAUGGGGAGCGAACAGGAUUAGAUACCCUGGUAGUCCAUGCCGUAAACGUUGGGCACUAGGUGUGGGGGACAUUCCACGUUUUCCGCGCCGUAGCUAACGCAUUAAGUGCCCCGCCUGGGGAGUACGGCCGCAAGGCUAAAACUCAAAGGAAUUGACGGCGGGCGGGGGCGGCGG